AACGCACAUUGCGCCCUUUGGUAUUCCGAGGGGCACGCCUGUUCGAGCGUCAUUUAAACCAUCAAGCCCUGCUUGGUCUUGGACUCGGUCGAGUGACCCGUCCGCAACACGUUGGCGGUGCAGUCCGGCUUCAAGCGUAGCAAGAAUUUCGCUUUAGGAGUCCGUGGCGGCGUCUGCCGGGAAAAACCACCUAAAGUUUGACCUCGGAUCAGGUGAGGAUACCCGCUGAACUUAA
rnacentral:misc_RNA from 1 species